GAAAAGGCGAGGGUCAAAGAUGUUGGGUGGUAUAGGUUAGACGCCGCCGAGGUUCGGAGCGGGGCUCGCCACGGGAGACGGCCGAUGCAGACCAGAGGAGCCAGCUGCUGGAGUGGUCAGUCCCGGCCAGCCGAAGGGAACAGGAGGGGCAGGGGACCGGCGUGGAGAGGACCGCAGCAGGAGUUGCAGGCGUUCGGUCCAGGUACGGCCGCAGUAGGAGGACGUUUUAAGACGGUGUAGUUCGGUCGCGUGGGAGUUUAGGGUAGACGAGAUAGUUCGUCCAGUUUUUCUGUUUCGACUGGUGAGGUUGUGUUGGAUUCUGUAAACACGAGGUUCUUUUGUAGUUCUGUAAACAUCUUAACCUUACGUAACGUCCUCGUUCCUCGUUGGUGUGUUCUUAAUCAGAAAUUUACUUGUGUAUAAUACAUAUUACAUACCUUUCGAAUCAAGAUCAAACAUCAUAGAAAAUUAAUAAAUGUAUAAAGUAUACUUACAACCUAGACUACGUCGACACUUGAGGUACAGAGGUAUGUGAAAAUCACAUACAUAAACAAGUAUAUGAACAAUGUUU
rnacentral:rRNA from 1 species